CUCCUACGGGAGGCAGCAGUAAGGAAUAUUGGUCAAUGGACGGGAGUCUGAACCAGCCAAGUCGCGUGAAGGAUGACGGCCCUACGGGUUGUAAACUUCUUUAGUGCGGGAACAAAUAAAGGCACGCGUGCCAUGUUGAGUGUACCGCAAGAAUAAGCAUCGGCUAACUCCGUGCCAGCAGCCGCGGUAAUACGGAGGAUGCGAGCGUUAUCCGGAUUUAUUGGGUUUAAAGGGUGCGCAGGCUGUCGUGCAAGUCAGCGGUCAAAUGUCGGGGCUCAACCCCGGCCUGCCGUUGAAACUGCAUGGCUGGCGUGAGUUUGAGGUAGGCGGAAUGCGUUGUGUAGCGGUGAAAUGCAUAGAUAUGACGCAGAACUCCGAUUGCGAAGGCAGCUUACCAACACUUUACGGACGCUGAGGCACGAAAGCGUGGGUAUCGAACAGGAUUAGAUACCCUGGUAGUCCACGCAGUAAACGAUGAAUACUAAUUGUUCGGGAGGCAACUCCUGAGUGAUACAGCGAAAGCGUUAAGUAUUCCACCUGGGGAGUACGCCGGCAACGGUGAAACUCAAAGGAAUUGACGGGGGCCCGCACAAGCGGAGGAACAUGUGGUUUAAUUCGAUGAUACGCGAGGAACCUUACCCGGGCUCAAACGUUGGGGGAAUGCUCCUGAAAGGGAGCAGCCAGCAAUGGUCGCCAACGAGGUGCUGCAUGGUUGUCGUCAGCUCGUGCCGUGAGGUGUCGGCUUAAGUGCCAUAACGAGCGCAACCCCUGCGUCCAGUUACCAUCAAGUGAAGUUGGGGACUCUGGACGGACUGCCGGCGCAAGCCGUGAGGAAGGCGGGGAUGACGUCAAAUCAGCACGGCCCUUACGUCCGGGGCAACACACGUGUUACAAUGGCGUGGAACAGCGGGAAGCCACCUGGCGACAGGGAGCGGACCCCUAAAACACGUCUCAGUUCGGAUUGGAGUCUGCAACUCGACUCCAUGAAGCUGGAUUCGCUAGUAAUCGCGCAUCAGCCAUGGCGCGGUGAAUACGUUCCCGGGCCUUGUACACACCGC
rnacentral:rRNA from 1 species